rnacentral:misc_RNA from 1 species
GAUGAAGAUCGUAGCGAAAUGCGAUAAGUAAUGUGAAUUGCAGAAUUCAGUGAAUCAUCGAAUCUUUGAACGCACAUUGCGCCCGCUAGUAUUCUGGCGGGCAUGCCUGUCCGAGCGUCAUUUCAACCCUCAAGCCCCCGGGCUUGGUGUUGGGGAUCGGCGAGCCUCCGCGCCCGCCGUCCCCUAAAUCUAGUGGCGGUCUCGCUGUAGCUUCCUCUGCGUAGUAGCACACCUCGCACUGGGAAACAGCGCGGCCACGCCGUUAACCCCCCAACUUCUGAACGUUUGACCUCGGAUCAGGUAGGAAUACCCGCUGAACUUGAGCAUAUCAAUAAGCGGAGGA